rnacentral:rRNA from 1 species
UACGGGGGGGGCAAGCGUUGUUCGGAAUUACUGGGCGUAAAGGGCUCGUAGGCGGCCAACUAAGUCGGACGUGAAAUCCCCAGGCUCAACCUGGGAACUGCGUCCGAUACUGGAUGGCUUGAAUUCGGGAGAGGGAUGUAGAAUUCCAGGUGUAGCGGUGAAAUGCGUAGAUAUCUGGAGGAAUACCGGUGGCGAAGGCGGCAUCCUGGACCGACAUUGACGCUGAGGAGCGAAAGCCAGGGGAGCAAACGGG